UUUGUUGAGUAGCAAACGGGUGAGUAACGCGUGGGAAUCUGCCUUUUUGUGGGGGAUAACUGAGGGAAACUUCAGCUAAUACCGCAUAAGCUCUACGGAGGAAAGGCCUUAUUUCAGUGUUUCAGUAUUGCCGUGUUACAGAAUUACAGAAAAGAUUUUUAAGAUGAAAAAUUCGUGUUUUAUCUCUAAAAGAUUAUUCUGCAAGACUGCAACACCGUAACACUGAACACUGACAAAGGUCGCAAGAAGAGGAGCCCGCGUCAGAUUAGGUAGUUGGUGGGGUAAAGGCCUACCAAGCCAAUGAUCUGUAGCUGGUCUGAGAGGAUGAUCAGCCACACUGGGACUGAGACACGGCCCAGACUCCUACGGGAGGCAGCAGUGGGGAAUAUUGGACAAUGGGGGAAACCCUGAUCCAGCAAUGCCGCGUGAAUGAAGGAGGCCUUAGGGUUGUAAAGUUCUUUCACCUGUGAAGAUAAUGACGGUAGCAGGAGAAGAAGCCCCGGCUAACUCCGUG
rnacentral:rRNA from 1 species